rnacentral:rRNA from 1 species
GAUGAACGCUGGCGGCGUGCUUAACACAUGCAAGUCGAACGGUGAAGGCGGAGCUUGCUCUGCUGGAUCAGUGGCGAACGGGUGAGUAACACGUGAGCAAUCUGCCCCUGACUCUGGGAUAAGCGCUGGAAACGGCGUCUAAUACUGGAUACGAGCUGCGAAGGCAUCUUCAGCAGCUGGAAAGAAUUUCGGUCAGGGAUGAGCUCGCGGCCUAUCAGCUUGUUGGUGAGGUAAUGGCUCACCAAGGCGUCGACGGGUAGCCGGCCUGAGAGGGUGACCGGCCACACUGGGACUGAGACACGGCACAGACUCCUACGGGAGGCAGCAGUGGGGAAUAUUGCACAAUGGGCGAAAGCCUGAUGCAGCAACGCCGCGUGAGGGACGACGGCCUUGGGGUUGUAAACCUCUUUUAGCAGGGAAGAAGCGAAAGUGACGGUACCUGCAGAAAAAGCGCCGGCUAACUACGUG